AUGUCAAAGAAUUUCCAGUUCUCUCUCAAAUCGGCGUACUAUGUGGAAUGGGACCACAAGUUUGGGAAUAAUCUCUGUUGGUCAAAUGGCCAAGGUGCACCAGAAAACGUGAGUGUGUGGAAGAAAGUUUGGGAACUAGGCUGCCCGGCAAAAGUCGGAAUUUUCACUUGGAAAGCGUUGCAUGGUACCCUAGCAUGUGGUGUCAAUUUGGCCCAGAGACAUAUCAAGGUGUCGCCGCAAUGCCCCUGUUGCAAGGAAGGGGCUGAUACUACGGCUCAUGUGUUGUUUCAAUGCCCUGCCGCAAGGAACGUCUGGGAAGAGCUUGCUUUGGAGAAACUAAUUCAAAAGGCUUGUCUCAUUGAUAGGGUGGGAGAAAGUAUAUUUGGAUUCCUAUUGGAGAUGCCGCAACAUGAAAUGAUGGGCCAGAAACAGGAAAAGAUGCAUGAAAUGAUAGCAAUAACCUGCUGGUACCUAUGGUGGGAAAGG
rnacentral:rRNA from 1 species